UGAGCAAUCUGCCCUUCUCAUCGGAAUAAGCGUUGGAAACGACGUCUAAUGCCGAAUACGACCUCCUUUCGCAUGAUCGGAGGUGGAAAGCUCCGGCGGAGAAGGAUGAGCUCGCGGCCUAUCAGCUAGUUGGUGUGGGUAAUGGCCCACCAAGGCGACGACGGGUAGCCGGCCUGAGAGGGUGACCCGGCCACACUGGGACUGAGACACGGCCCAGACCUCCGUACGGGGAGCAG
rnacentral:rRNA from 1 species